rnacentral:rRNA from 1 species
CCCCUAGUAACUGCGAGUGAAGCGGGAAGAGCUCAAAUUUGAAAUCUGGCAGUCUUUGGCUGUCCGAGUUGUAAUCUAGAGAAGUGUUGCCAGUGCUGGACCAUGUACAAGUCUUCUGGAAUGGAGCAUCACAGAGGGUGAGAAUCCCGUCUUUGACAUGGACUGCCUGCACAGUGUGGCAUGCUCUCGAAGAGUCGAGUUGUUUGGGAAUGCAGCUCAAAAUGGGUGGUAAAUGCCAUCUAAAGCUAAAUAUUGGCGAGAGACCGAUAGCGAACAAGUACCGUGAGGGAAAGAUGAAAAGAACUUUGGAAAGAGAGUUAAACAGUACGUGAAAUUGCUGAAAGGGAAACGCUUGAAGUCAGUCACGUCGGCUAGAAAUCAGCCUUGCUUCUGCCUGGUGUACUUUCUGGUCGAUGGGUCAGCAUCGAUUUUGCCCGCUGGAAAAAGUCUCUGGGAAUGUAGCAUCUUUCUUGGAUGUGUUAUAGCCCAUGGUCGCAUGCAGCGGCCGGGAUCGAGGAACUCAGCACGCCCUGUGAGGGGCCAGGUUUUGACCAUGAUCGUGCUUAGGAUGCUGGCAUAAUGGCUUCAAUCGACCCGUCUUGAAACACGGACCAAGGAGUCUAACAUGCCUGCGAGUGUUUGGGUGGAAAACCCAUGCGCGC